UUUCCGUAGGUGAACCUGCGGAGGGAUCAUUCACAAUAAGUGUUUUAUGGCACUUUUUAAAUCCAUAUCCACCUUGUGUGCAAUGUCAGGGUUGAUUUUUCUCUCGAGAGGAUCAGCCCCAAACAUCAACUAUAUCUCAACUCUUUGUCUGAAAAAUAUUAUGAAUAAAACAAUUCAAAAUACAACUUUCAACAACGGAUCUCUUGGCUCUC
rnacentral:misc_RNA from 1 species